rnacentral:rRNA from 1 species
UCAAGAAACUUCCACAAUGGGCGAAAGCCUGAUGGAGCGACGUCGCGUGAUGGACGAAGUGCUUCGGCACGUAAACAUCUUUUUAUGUGGGAUGAAAUUAUUGACAGUACCACAUGAAUAAGGGGCUCCUAACUCUGUGCCAGCAGGAGCGGUAAUACAGAGGCCCCAAGCGUUAUCCGGAAUCACUGGGCGUAAAGGGUGUCGAGGCGGUUGUAUUAGUCGUUCGUAAAAUCUACGAGCUUAACUUGUAGGCGGCGAACGAAACGGUACGACUUGAGGUUUGGAGAGGUGCGUGGAACGUCACGGUGUAGGGGUGAAAUCCGUUGAUAUCGUGGGGAACACCAAAGGCGAAGGCAGCGCACUGGCCAAAAUCUGACGCUCACACACGAAAGCUAGGGUAGCGAAGAGGAUUAGAUACCCAGGUAGUCCCUGAGCGGGCUGGCAAGGCGCAU